rnacentral:rRNA from 1 species
GAGGAAUGUAUAGCAAUAGCUAUUGCAUCAUUGUAGAUAUGAUGCAAGAUCGACUAUGUUGAAUAAAAUUCUAGGUAGAUGAUAAUGACAUUGUCUGCCUAUGUGUCUUGACCAAAUUACGUGCCAGCAGUCGCGGUAAUACGUAGAAGACUAGUGUUAUUCAUGUUUAAUCGGUUUAAAGGGUACCUAGACGGUAGAUCAAGCUUUCUAAUAAAGGAAAAGGACUAAUUUACUAGAGUUACUUAUGAGGGGGUAAUAAAGUACUGCUGGUGUAGAGAUGAAAUUCUGUCAUACCUCUUUUCAAAAGAAAAACCAUGGCACUGGUAUAGGCGAAGGCAUCCCCUUAUGUGAUAACUGACGUUGAGGGACGAAGGCUUUGUGUAGCGAACAGGAUUAGAUACCCCAGUAGUCGAAGCAGAAAAUGAUGAAUGUCAUAGAUUAGAUAUAUAAGUUUAUUCUAUAAAUGAAAGUGUAAGCAUUCCACCUCAUGAGUAAUUUGGCAACAUUGGAACUGAAAUCAUUAGACCGUUUCUGAAACCAGUAGUGAAGUAUGUUGUUUAAUUUGACGAUACGCAAAAAACCUUACCACAAUUUGAAUAUUUAUAUUAUUUAUUGUUUUAUUAUUAAUUUUCUUCAAGAAAAUUAAUAAAGAGGCAAUAAGAUAUAUUUACAAGCGUUGCACGGCUGUCUUCAGUUAAUGUCGCGAGACUUUGGUUAGUUCCAUUAAAUUAACGUAAACCCUUACUUUAUUUUUAUAUAGAGUAGUUCCCCGCUAUAUUGGAUAUGAUAA